rnacentral:tRNA from 1 species
GACCACGUAGCUCAGUUGGCAGAGCAUUGGGCUAGUAUUCCAAAGGUCGUAGGUUCGAUUCCCACUGUGGCUA